rnacentral:rRNA from 1 species
UACGUAGGUGGCAAGCGUUUGUCCGGAUUUACUGGGCGUAAAGAGCGCGCAGGCGGCCAAGUCAGUCGAAUGUGAAAGCCCCCCGGCUCAACUGGGGAGGGUCACGCGAUACUGAUCGACUCGAAGGCAGGAGAGGGAAGUGGAAUUCCCGGUGUAGUGGUGAAAUGCGUAGAUAUCGGGAGGAACACCAGUGGCGAAGGCGACUUCCUGGCCUGUUCUUGACGCUGAGGCGCGAAAGCUAGGGGAGCAAACGGG